UGUGGGUGAUAGGGAGACGACCAGAGC
rnacentral:sRNA from 1 species